rnacentral:rRNA from 1 species
UACCGAGGUCCCGAGCGUUGUUCGGAUUCAUUGGGCGUAAAGGGUGCGUAGGCGGCGGGGCAAGUCUGAUAUGAAAUCCCGGGGCUCAACCCCGGAACUGCAUUGGAUACUGCCUUGCUUGAGUACUGGAGAGGGAACUGGAAUUUACGGUGUAGCAGUGAAAUGCGUAGAGAUCGUAAGGAAGGCCAGUGGCGAAGGCGAGUUCCUGGACAGUGACUGACGCUGAGGCACGAAGGCCAGGGGAGCAAACGGG